UUUAACGGCCGCGGUAUUUUGACCGUGCAAAGGUAGCGCAAUCACUUGUCUUUUAAAUGAAGACCUGUAUGAAUGGCAUAACGAGGGCUUAACUGUCUCCUUUUUCCAGUCAAUGAAAUUGAUCUCCCCGUGCAGAAGCGAGGAUAUUAACAUAAGACGAGAAGACCCUAUGGAGCUUUAGACGCCAGAACAGACCAUGUUAAACACCCCUUAAAUGAAGGACAAAACUAAUUGGCCCCUGCUCUAAUGUCUUUGGUUGGGGCGACCGCGGGGAAACAAAAAACCCCCAUGUGGACCGGGAGCACACUACUCCCACAACCCAGAGCCACAACUCCAAGUAACAGAACUUCUGACCAAUAAGAUCCGGCACAUAGCCGAUCAACGGACCGAGUACCCUAG
rnacentral:rRNA from 1 species